AGGAUGAACGCUGGCGGCGUGCCUAACACAUGCAAGUCGAACGUCCUGUCUCGCAAGAGGCAGGGAGUGGCGGACGGGUGAGUACCACGUGGGUCAUCUACCGUGAGGUGAGGAAUACCGGCGAGAAAUCGCCGACAAGACCGCAUAGCCUCGGUGCAAGCCGAGGAAAGCUUUCUCGAGAGAGGGAGCGCCACACGAGGAGCCUGCGCCCGAUUAGCUAGCUGGUGGAGUAACGGUUCACCAGGGCGACGAUCGGUAGCUGGUCUGAGAGGACGAUCAGCCACACUGGGAUUGAGAACGGCCCAGACUCCUACGGGGGGCAGCAGUGAGGAAUUUUCGUCAAUGGGGCAACCCUGAACGAGCAACGCCGCGUGCAGGAAGAAGGUUUUCGGAUCGUAAACUGCUUUUCUCGGGGUAAGAGAACGGACGGUACCCGAGGAAUCAGCCCCGGCUAACUACGUGCCAGCAGCCGC
rnacentral:rRNA from 1 species